GAAAUGCGAUAAGUAAUGUGAAUUGCAGAAUUCCGUGAAUCAUCGAAUCUUUGAACGCACAUUGCGCCCUCUGGUAUUCCGGGGGGCAUGCCUGUCCGAGCGUCAUUGCGAACCCCUCAAGCACGGCUUGUGUGAUGGGCCCUCCCGCGUCUUGGUCGUCAAGACGGGCCCGAAAUGCAGUGGCGGCUUCGCGGUUAUCCGAUCAGCCAGAGCGUAUGGGGACUUUCUCUCUGUCACACGCCCGCGGCGCGGACCGACGCCUGUCGACCUUCAUUCAUCGUUUUCUCGGUUGACCUCGGAUCAGGUAGGGAUACCCGCUGAACAUAAGC
rnacentral:misc_RNA from 1 species